rnacentral:snRNA from 1 species
GUGCUCGCUUCGGCAGCACAUAUACUAAAAUGUGGAACAGAUACAAGAGAAAGAUUAGCAUGCCCUGCGCAAAGGAUGACCGCAAAUUCGUGAAGCGUUCCAUAUUUUG